CAAAGCAGGCAGAUCCAAUUUUCUGCCACCGAAUACAUUAGCAUGGGAUAAUGGAAUAGGACCCUGUCCUCCUAUUUUCAGUUGGUUUUGGCAGCGCGAGGACUAGGGUAAUGAUUAAUAGGGAUAGUUGGGGGCAUUAAUAUUUAAUUGUCAGAGGUGAAAUUCUUGGAUUUAUGAAAGAUUAACUUCUGCGAAAGCAUCUGCCAAGGAUGUUUUCAUUAAUCAAGAACGAAAGUUAGGGGAUCGAAGACGAUCAGAUACCGUCGUAGUCUUAACCAUAAACGAUGCCGACCAGCGAUUAGGAGACGUUGAAUACAAAACACCACCAUCGGUUGCGGUCGUCCUUGGCGUCUCGGUUUCGGCCGGGGCGCGGGGAUGGCUUAGCCCGGUGGCACCGGUGAAUGACUCCCUAGCAGCUUGUGAGAA
rnacentral:rRNA from 1 species